rnacentral:lncRNA from 1 species
CGGCCAAGCCUGCAGGCUGCUGGUUGUUUUCAACCCCAGAGGGGAAACUGAGACUCAGAAGCAGGUUUACGGCUUUCCCUUUGAGACUGGAGUUCGAGAAGGGAAAACGAAGAGCUGAGGGUAAAGCGGUAUUAAAGAAAGUAGCAUAGUCUCAGGAGGAGGAACCCGCUGACCUGCAAAUCAUCGGCCUCUAUAAAUAACUUCCAGAAGAUCCACAGAGAUCUGUGGGCACUGAGACUGGAUGAAAGAGAAAGUUCAUGAAGAAAAAUAGAGUGGAGAAAACAAGGGCUGAACUUUCCAGAAUAAGGGAUCAGAAGGAAAGUGACCAUAAUUUUUCCAACAACAUUAUGCUUAUCUUUUCUAUUUUCUCUUCUAAUACGUUCAGAACAGAUUAAUUGCAAUUUUCACAAUAACUCUCCACCUGGCAGCUGUUUAGUAGAGUGAUUUCAGGCUCUGAGUAUAUGAGGAAGAUGUCAUCUUACCAGAGGAACCGCCCCUGUGACUUUACAUUAGAGCAGGAGUGUGCUAAUAGAAAAGGUGACUGGGUCAUUUAAACCUCAACAACAAUCUGAAAAAGACCACAUCAUCCUUUUACUCAUCAUGUCCAGUAAGCAAGCCUGGUAGAAAGAUCCAGCAGAGUAUUUGAGAAGCUACUUUUUAAACCAACAUUUAUCAAAGGACUUAAAUGACAAAAUUGAGAAUAAUGCAGAACUUUCAUAUUUUAUAUAGAAGUGUCUGCUAAAGAAAUAGCAAAAUAUCUCAUUUUUUAGAAAAACGUCGUGUACCAGAAAAAGAAAUAGCUUGUAUCUUUUCUACACUUGAUUUCUAAAUGAUGGCAAUAAAGGUCAGAUACAUGUUUGAAACUAGAGAAAUGUCAAAUUAAAAAUCACUUACAAAACGUUGUUGUUACUUUUUCUUAUCACUUUAGUGCUGAAUGGAACUCUCAAUGACUUAACAGAUUCCUGCUUGUCAGAAGCUGCUGAUCCAUUGAACUCUUUAACUUAUUGAUGAGGGACUUCGUAUCUUGUGUUCAUUAAUUAAAUACAGAACAAGAGUGUCACACACGUGGUGUAUGCAAUUCAUAAAGUGAAGUCAUCUGCAGCUAAGGGAAUACAUUAUUAAAAAUGUAAGAAAUGUCAGGCUGGCCCAGUGGCAUAGUGGUUAAGUUUGUCUACUCCAUUUUGGCGGCCCAGGGUUCACAGGUUCAGAUCCUGGGCACAGACCUAGCACCACUUGUCAAGCCACGCUGUGGUGGCAUCCGCAUAAAAUGGAGGAACACCAGCACAGAUGUUAGCUCAGCGACAAUCUUUCUAGAGCAAAAAGAGGAAGAUUGACAACAGAUGUUAGGUCAGGGCCAAUCUUCCUCACAGACACAAAUAUGUAUAUGUAUAUGUAUAUGUGUGUAUUAUAUACAAAAUGUUAUUUCUCAAGUUUCU